GAGACAGCAGCCGCCACGGUAAUACGGAGGGUGCAAGCGUUAAUCGGAAUUACUGGGCGUAAAGCGCACGCAGGCGGUCUGACAAGUCAGAUGUGAAAUCCCCGGGCUUAACCUGGGAACUGCAUUUGAAACUGUCAGGCUGGAGUCUUGUAGAGGGGGGUAGAAUUCCAGGUGUAGCGGUGAAAUGCGUAGAGAUCUGGAGGAAUACCGGUGGCGAAGGCGGCCCCCUGGACAAAGACUGACGCUCAGGUGCGAAAGCGUGGGGAGCAAACAGGAUUAGAUACCCGUGUAGUCCCUGUCUCUUAUAC
rnacentral:rRNA from 1 species